rnacentral:lncRNA from 1 species
UAUGAAGAGGUGGUUGGGAGAGAGGCCGAUGCUCCGACAAAUCGCAGUCUUCAUCUCUCCUGUUUCACUGUUUGUAUUGAUUGAUAAUUGAUGAUGAUCUUCUCUUCUGCGUUUUGUUCAUUCACUCACACUCACUCACCAAAAAAUAUAAGAGUGGAGAAAUAUAAAAAUGAAAAAAAUUAUGUUUCAUAAGAAAAAAAAACUAGAGCUUCG